rnacentral:rRNA from 1 species
UCAAGUGACUAAGUGUAUGUGGUGGAUGCCUUGGCGAUCAUAGGCGAUGAAGGACGUGUAAGCCUGCGAAAAGCUGCGGGGAGUCGGCAAAAAGACUUUGAUCCGCAGAUGUCCGAAUGAGGAAACUCACCGGGUAACCGGUAUCACAAACUGAAUACAUAGGUUUGUGAAGCGAACGCAGUGAACUGAAACAUCUAAGUAACUGCAGGAAAAGAAAUCAACCGAGAUUGCGGCAGUAGCGGCGAGCGAAACCGCAGUAGCCUAGUUUUUGAUAAUGCAUGGUGACAGCAGAACGGUCUGGAAAGGCCGGCCACAGUGGGUGACAGCCCCGUAUGCGAAGUCCGGUGCAUGGUACUAAAAAGACGAUAAGUAGGGCGGGACACGUGACAUCCUGUCCGAAGAUGGGGGGACCAUCCUCCAAGGCUAAAUACUCAUGAUCGACCGAUAGCGAACCAGUACUGUGAAGGAAAGGCGAAAAGAACCCCGGGAGGGGAGUGAAAUAGAACCUGAAACCGCAUACAUACAAACAGUAGGAGCCCUACGGGGUGACUGCGUACCUUUUGCAUAAUGGGUCAGCGACUUACGUUUUGCGGCAAGCUUAACCGAGUAGGGGAGGCGCAGCGAAAGCGAGUUCGAACAGAGCGAUAGAGUCGUAAGGCGUAGACCCGAAACCAGAUGAGCUAACCAUGGCCAGGUUGAAGGUGUGGUAACACACACUGGAGGACCGAACCGACCGGUGUUGCAAAACCGGCGGAUGAGCUGUGGUUAGGGGUGAAAGGCUUAACAAAUCUGGAGAUAGCUGGUUCUCCCCGAAAACUAUUGAGGUAGUGCCUCGUGAAUGACUCCGGGGGGUAGAGCACUGUUAUGGCUAGGGGGACAUGGCGUCUUACCAAACCAUGGCAAACUCCGAAUACCCGGAAGUUGAAUCACGGGAGACAGAGCACCGGGUGCUAACGUCCGGACUCAAAAGGGAAACAACCCAGACCGCCGUUUAAGGUCCCAAAUACAGGCUAAGUGGAAAACGAAGUGUGAAGGCUAAGACAGUCAGGAAGUUGGCUUAGAAGCAGCCAUCCUUCAAAGAAAGCGUAAUAGCUCACUGAUCGAGUCCUCAUGCGCGGAAGAUGUAACGGGGCUAAGUCUGUAACCGAAAGCGCGGAUUUGCACGCAAGUGCAAGUGGUAGGGGAGCGUUCUGUAAGCCUGCGAAGGUGUGUGGUAACGCAUGCCGGAGGUAUCAGAAGUGCGAAUGCUGACAUGAGUAACGAUAAAGCGGGUGAAAAGCCCGCUCGCCGUAAGCCCAAGGUUUCCUGCUCUACGUUCAUCGGAGCAGGGUGAGUCGGCCCCUAAGGCCAGGCUGAGAAGCGUAGCUGAUGGGAAGCAGAUUAAGAUUUCUGCACCGACGUUAAGUGCGAAGGGGGGACGGAGUUUUGAGCAUCAUCCGGGUGUUGGAUGUCCCGGUUUGUGCGUGUAGGAGGCCGGCAGGCAAAUCCGCCGGCGAAUCUCCGAGACAAAGCAUCGAGCUUCAAUUAGAAGCGAAGUGAUGGGAUGAACUUCCAGGAAAAGCCUCUAAGCUAUAGCUUAAUGUCGACCGUACCGUAAACCGACACAGGUGGGCGAGUUGAAUAUACUCAGGCGCUUGAGAGAACUCGGGAGAAGGAACUCGGCAAAUUGACACCGUAACUUCGGGAUAAGGUGUGCCUUUGUAGUGUGAAGAGUGAGACACUCCGAGCAUGAAGAGGUCACAGAGAAUAGGUGGCUGCAACUGUUUACUAAAAACACAGCACUCUGCAAAGACGAAAGUCGACGUAUAGGGUGUGAUGCCUGCCCGGUGCCGGAAGAUUAAGUGAUGGGGUGAGAGCUCCUGAUCGAAGUCCCGGUAAACGGCGGCCGUAACUAUAACGGUCCUAAGGUAGCGAAAUUCCUUGUC